GCACCUGUAGCUCAGUGGAUAGAGCGUCUGUUUCCUAAGCAGAAAGUCGUAAGUUUGACCCCUACCUAGUGCG
rfam:Ipomoea nil DNA, scaffold: scaffold2280, cultivar: Tokyo-kokei standard.